rnacentral:lncRNA from 1 species
GAGAACAGCUCCUAAGAUCCAGGCCGGAAUGACAGGGACUUCCACCAAUCAACUUUCUACCUUUCGGUUUCUGCGUCCUAGCUGUUUCUGGACCCGGAAAAGUCUCCUCAGAAGCAUUUCCGUGGCAGAGGGCCUGGGAGAGGCGGCAGUCGGCAGCGCAACUGUCGGCACAGCAGCCCGGCGGCCCCGAAAGGUCCCAGGUAUCACACUCAUCAGGUAGUUCAGCUCACCUGUGAAACUGAGAACCCUGGAUGGUGAAGAGAGGAAACUAGCAAAGGAUCCAGGUCUCUAACUGCUCAGUCAGAUCUGCUCACCUGUUAAUCAGAACUAAGAGCCCUGGAUGGUGAACACAGAGGAAACUAUAGCCAAGGAACCAGGUAAGAGUAACUAGAAGAAUGAACGCCUCUCUCCUAAAUGCUCCUC